AGAGUUUGAUCAUGGCUCAGGACGAACGCUGGCGGCGUGCCUAAUACAUGCAAGUCGAGCGGAUUGAUGGGAGCUUGCUCCCAUCAGUCAGCGGCGGACGGGUGAGUAACACGUGGGUAACCUGCCUGUAAGACUGGGAUAACUCCGGGAAACCGGGGCUAAUACCGGAUAACUCAUUUCCUCGCAUGAGGAAAUGUUGAAAGGUGGCUUUUAGCUAUCACUUACAGAUGGACCCGCGGCGCAUUAGCUAGUUGGUGAGGUAACGGCUCACCAAGGCGACGAUGCGUAGCCGACCUGAGAGGGUGAUCGGCCACACUGGGACUGAGACACGGCCCAGACUCCUACGGGAGGCAGCAGUAGGGAAUCUUCCGCAAUGGACGAAAGUCUGACGGAGCAACGCCGCGUGAGUGAUGAAGGUUUUCGGAUCGUAAAACUCUGUUGUCAGGGAAGAACAAGUACCGGAGUAACUGCCGGUACCUUGACGGUACCUGACCAGAAAGCCACGGCUAACUACGUGCCAGCAGCCGCGGUAAUACGUAGGUGGCAAGCGUUGUCCGGAAUUAUUGGGCGUAAAGCGUGCGCAGGCGGUUCCUUAAGUCUGAUGUGAAAGCCCCCGGCUCAACCGGGGAGGGUCAUUG
rnacentral:rRNA from 1 species